UUGGCAGCCCUAGACCCUGAAGCCCCCUGUAUGCACAAAAAAUGCACAGCAUGGGUAGUGGGCAGUGCCAACUUCCCAGCACUGCUGCACUAAUGUGCCUCAAACUUGACCUUGAGAAGAACCAUCUUGGAGGCAAAAUUAUCCACUCAUUUUGGGAAGGAGGGUUUUAGUAUCAGUACAGGGAGUAGAACCUAGGUUUUU
rnacentral:sRNA from 1 species